rnacentral:lncRNA from 10 species
GGGAGGGGCCUGGUGGGGCCCGGGCAGGGCAUGUUUUCGAAGCAUGGAGGGAGUGGUUACAGGGCUGGGCUGGGCUCUGUAGACUGCAGGGUUGGUUUGGAGCAUUUGGACCCACCUGCUCUGCUCCUGGUGACUUUGGGUUCAGAUCACAGGGCUCCUGCCACCCUCUCCUCAGCCCUUGCGCUCCGUCUCUCCUGGCCCUGCUCUUUGAUAAAUGCCUUCAUCUUUGGGGCACUCCUUCACAGGCUCUUUCUCACCUGUGGAUGAGGGCAGGGCCCCUUGGGUAGAAGGGAUAGUAACUCCAUGUGACCCAGUUUUGGCUAAAAAUGGGAUUGGUGACAGGAUGGGGGCAGCUGCAUACUGAGCCAGGUGUGAAGGAGCAGAGAGUGGAAGUGGGUGUGGGUGUGGACUCAGCUAAGGUGCCUGGGGCGCAGGACGUGCCAUCCAGGCUGCAGGGCGGAGACAGAACGGGGCCGCUGGGGCGCCUGUCUCUGUGCUGCACGCACAUCGCCCCUUCCCGCCACUCCUCUGGGAAGUGGCCUGAUCCCUGCAGCUGCUGAGGCUCUAAGCAGAAACGGACUUGCAGUUCUGACACCUCUUGCUUACCUUCCCCUUCAUAGGGGACCUGCGGCUCCUCUGGGCCCUACCAUGCUGGCAUUUUCCUCCAUGUGUCAAACACAUGGGUUCAGCCAGCGAAGAUGGUCCUGCUGGCUGGAGCAGCCUGGGGCCAGAGGAAGCCGUAUCAACCGGGUGAGGCCUAGUGGUGGGGGCGGUGGCAGGCCUGCGUCCACUGCGGGAGGGUGCAGGUCCAGCCAGGACAGGCAGUGUGCCAAGGACAGGAGUGCCCUCAGGGCACUGCAGCCAGGAGGCGAGGAGCCUCAGGGAAGACUCCCAGUGGUGGAGGCACGGCUGGCCUGGCCACGCCGUCCAGCAGGGCAGGCAUCCAGUAAUUCCUCCCGGCCAAGGAACCCCUCCAGUAGGAAAGGUGGCAACAAAAGAAACAGACACUAAUUGGAGAUGUAGAUGGUUCAGGGAGAAGAAAAUAACAGAGAAAGAAAAUCUCUGAUUAAUAUCCUCAGGAAAAUAAGUGGGCAUCAUGCAUUCACGGGACAAGAGGUGUCACCAUGGAGAAGCCACAUUGAGAGAAUAAAACUGACCUUCUGUGAAUUAAAGAUGCCAUAAUAGAAAUGGGAAAAAUAAUAGAAGAAUUGGAAGAGAAAGUUGUGGAAAUUUCCAGAAAAUAGAGGAAAAAGGCAAAAAUAUGGAAAGUAGGAGAGAAAGAGAAGAAUGAACUAGCAGGCUGAACCCUGAAGCCAGCAUUCCAAUUGAUCACUUGAGGUCAGGAGUUCAAGACCAGUCUGGCCAACAUGGCAAAACCCCGUCUCUACUAAAAAUACAAAAAAAUUAGCCGGGUGUGGUGGCGCAUGUCUGUAAUCCCUGAUACUGUGGAUGAGACAGGCAAAACUAGCUGGGCAUGGUAGCUUACGCCUGUAAUCCCAGUACUUUGGGAGGCCAAAAUGGGAGGAUCACUUGAGCCCAGGAAUUCGAAACCAGGCUGGGCAGCAUGGUGAGACCCCAUCGUUAGAAAAAAUAUUUUUAAAAAUUUGCCAGGUAUGGUAGCACAUGCCUGUAUUCCAGCUCCUUGGAAGGCUGAGGCAGGAGGAUUGCUUGACCCUGGGAAGUCGAGGCUGCAGUGAACCAAGAUCAAGCUACUGAACUCCAGCCUGGGUGACAGAGCAAGACUCUGUCUCAAAAAAAAAAAAAAAAAUCCUAAUAACACAACAGGGGUGGGCUUCUGCUUGUGGCAUUAUGGUGGUCUGUUAUUCUGAAAAAACUUCCCACUGCCGAAUACCUGGAAUGCUGAUGAGUUGACCAGCAUCCUUCUGAUCAAUCAGAAGGAGAAACCUAGGCCCACGGAGGUCAAGAGGGGAGGUGAGAGGUUAGAGCUCUCCAGUGGCCCCUGGGCACCUGCCUGCCUUGAUUUCACAUGGGAGACAAGGCCUUUCUUCUUCUUUUUUCUUUUUUCUUUUUUUUUGAGAUGGAGUCUCGCUCUGUUGCCCAGGCUGGAGUGCAGUGGCGCGAUCUCGGCUCACUGCAAGCUCUGCCUCCCAGGUUCACGCCAUUCGCCUGCCUCAGCCUCCUGACCUCGUGAUCCGCCCGCCUCGGCCUCCCAAAGUGCUGGGAUUACAGGCAUGGACCACCGCGCCUGGCCAGACAAGGCCUUUCUUUGCACUGGGUCAGAGCCCACCUGUACCAGACCCUUCAAGGCCCCUCCUCAGCAAAAAGUGACUGAUGAGGAACCUUCCACUGUGCACCCUGGGAGGUAGUCUGUUUUCUUUUAGAAUUUCUUUUAAAUCCUCUCUCCUGAGAAUUUGUAACCAUGGUCUGUCCUGAUGUACAUUAGAGCAGAAAGUCACAUAAUUUGGAUUGAUGAGAUACAGGAUAAAAAUAGCAAGGUAAAGAGGCGAAAGGGAGAAAGGACAGCUGCUGCCUCAUCAAGAGAAAAGAGAGAAACAAGCCAAGUGGUAAACAGGAGGUGAAUAGAUGUGAGGACAGCGAGGGGUGGCGCGGGGACCGCGGGGAGAUGUGAGGGGUGGCAUGGGGACCGUGAGAGGGGCGGUGAGGGGCGGCGCAGGGGCCUUGAGGGGAUGUGAGAGGCAGUGCGGGGACCGCGGGGGGCGGUGAGGGCCGGGGGGGGGGACGGUGAGGGGCGGCGCAGGGACCUCGAGGGGACGUGAGGGGCAGUGCGGGGACCGUGGGGGGAGGGGGAGGGGCGGCGGGGGGACGGUGAGGGGCGGCGCGGGGACCUCGAGGGGACGUGAGGGGCAGUGCGGGGACCGUGGGGGGAGGGGGAGGGGCGGCGCAGGGACCUCGAGGGGACGUGAGGGGCAGUGUGGGAACCACGGGGGGGCGGUGAGGGGCAGGCGUGCCCAGUGCAGCCACCUCUGAAAGCCCAGCAGCGAGUGCUCCAGGAGAGUGCCACUUCCCAGGCAGUGCUCCGUGGGCUCCGCAGUGGGCUCUCUCCCAGUCCUCAGGGCUGUGUCACCCCGGGGAAAUGAAGCAAAAAGGACAGUUUCCAAUUUUUUUUUUUUUUUUUGGAGACAGGGUCUCACUCUGUCACCCAGGCUGGAGUGCAGUGGUGUGAUCUUGGCUCACUGCAACCUCUUGCCUCCCAGGCUGAAGUGAUCCUCCCACCUCAGCUCCCAGAGUAGCUGCGACCAGAGGUGCCCGCCACCACACCCAGCUAAUUUUUGUAUUUUUAGUAGAGACGGGGUUUCCCCAUGUUGGCCAGGCUGGUCUCGAACUCCUGACCUCAGGUGAUCUGUCCACCUCGGCCUCCCAAAGUGCUGGGAUUACAGGCAUGAGCCACUGCGCCCGGCCCCAAAUUAUUUUUGUGACCUGAGCAUCACCACAAAAGAGAUCCAGGGACCAGCCUCACUCAGGGUCUGCCCUCCCCGUCCAUGCCCCUGCUGCUGAACCCAAGUCAGAGAUGGUUUCAGGUGCCUUUGCUGGGAUACAGUGACCCUUGAUAUCCCAAAACUUGGAACGAAGCAGAUUCCUAUCACCUCACAUACCCCGCUGUGAUCGCUGACCCUAGGAACAAAAUCCAUAUUGCCUGGCAUCUCACACUGAUCGACAUAAGAAGGGAAACCACAUGGCCACUGCCCUUGUUUAUUCUUAUUAAAAACUCAGGCUAGGCCGGGCGCGGUGGCUCACGCCUAUAAUCCUAGCACUUUGGGAGGCUGAGGCAGGCGGAUUGCCUGAGCUCAGGAGUUUGAGACCAGCGAGCCCAGGAGGUCGAGGCUGCAGUGAGCUAAGUUGGUGUCACUACACUCCAGCCUGAGUGACAGACCGAGACCCUGUCUUAAAAAAAAGAAAAAAAACCAAAAUCCUACAAUCACCCACACAGACAAAGAAUGGAAGAAACCAAAGGUUUUUGGUCUUCACUUAAUAAAAUUGUUUAUAUAAAAUCCCAACACAUUCCCACAAAUUAUUAGAGGUGACAAGAAUUUAGCAGGAUGCUGUUGGAGGAUCAGCAGCUGAAGCUUAUCUGCAUUCCUGUGUACUAGACUCAGAGGUGCCAGCUCCUCUGUGAAUCGAUCAUCACAGAUUCUGGUGAGCUUCUGAUGAGAGUCCCGCAGGGCCUGAGUCAACCAUUGGGUUUGCGCCUGGAGGUGCUGGUGACCCUGAAGGCAGUGCUAGAAGGUGGCCAGUGGCCCCAUGAAGGGGACGAGGGGUACAGGUAGAGAUUUUUUGUCUGGGUGGCGCUUCUCAGGGCCUUUGCUCUUGCAGGGUUGCUGCAGGGGUUCCGGUGGUCUCAGGGUCCUCUUCCAUGAGGUUGUCAGCCCAUUGUGAGGAGGGGUUUGUGGCGAGACCCUUUGAUUCUUACAGGCUGGGUUUAAAGUGAUUUCUUAAGAUACAAAAAAGUAUAAAUCACAAAGGAAAAUAUUAACAAGUUUGACAUGACAAAUUAAAGGAAUUUGUUCAUCAGAAGAUCUGAAAAAAUGUACAGAACUGCAGAUGAACAUCACCAAGAAAAAGAAUUACCAAAGAAGAUACUAUAAAUACUUUUCUCUACUUUAUAAGAAGUGGAAAGGCUCACCCAUGGCCCUGGGAGCAGCAGUGGAUGGGGCCUAAGGCCAGUGGGAACUGGCACUCACACCCCAACCUGGCC